rnacentral:misc_RNA from 1 species
AAGUCGUAACAAGGUUUCCGUAGGUGAACCUGCGGAAGGAUCAUUAAAGAAUUCGGCUUCGCGGCCAAGUUCUCACCCUUUGUAUACCGAAACCAUGUUGCUUUUGGCAGCCCGCCAUUGCAUUCUGGCCGGCUGGCCCAGAGGGUUAUAAACCCCUAGAAUCUCUGCUGUCUGAGUACUAUGCAAUAGUUAAAA